AUUGAACGCUGGCGGAAUGCUUUACACAUGCAAGUCGAACGGCAGCACUGGGGCAACCCUGGUGGCGAGUGGCGAACGGGUGAGUAAUACAUCGGAACGUGCCCGGUCGUGGGGGAUAACGUAGCGAAAGUUACGCUAAUACCGCAUACGAUCUGAGGAUGGAAGCGGGGGACCUUCGGGCCUCGCGCGAUCGGAGCGGCCGAUGUCAGAUUAGGUAGUUGGUGGGGUAAAGGCCUACCAAGCCGACGAUCUGUAGCUGGUCUGAGAGGACGACCAGCCACACUGGGACUGAGACACGGCCCAGACUCCUACGGGAGGCAGCAGUGGGGAAUUUUGGACAAUGGGCGCAAGCCUGAUCCAGCCAUUCCGCGUGCAGGACGAAGGCCUUCGGGUUGUAAACUGCUUUUGUAUGGAACGAAAAGGCUCUGGCUAAUACCUGGGGCUCAUGACGGUACCGUAAGAAUAAGCACCGGCUAACUACGUG
rnacentral:rRNA from 1 species